UGGGGAAUAUUGGACAAUGGGCGCAAGCCUGAUCCAGCAAUGCCGCGUGAGUGAUGAAGGCCUUAGGGUUGUAAAGCUCUUUCGCCCGCGACGAUGAUGACGGUAGCGGGAGAAGAAGCCCCGGCUAACUUCGUGCCAGCAGCCGCGGUAAUACGAAGGGGGCGAGCGUUGUUCGGAUUUACUGGGCGUAAAGGGCGCGUAGGCGGCGCGUCAAGUCAGGCGUGAAAGCCCCGGGCUCAACCUGGGAAUGGCGCUUGGGACUGGCGUGCUUGAGUUCGGGAGAGGAGAGUGGAAUUCCCAGUGUAGAGGUGAAAUUCGUAGAUAUUGGGAAGAACACCGGUGGCGAAGGCGGCUCUCUGGACCGAGACUGACGCUGAGGCGCGAAAGCGUGGGGAGCAAACAGGAUUAGAUACCCCCGUAGUCC
rnacentral:rRNA from 1 species